AAAAAAAAAAACAACCCUUAAAACAGAUCAUGUGUUAAUGGUAUUUCUCUUUGUUGAAGCUGUAACCAUAUUUCAAAUGCUUUAAGUUAAAAUGUUUACUGUCUUGGUGACUUCCCAGGUUCUUGGACUUGAUAUUUGUGCUGACACAAUGGUGGGAGAUGAGAUGAGAAGAGGCAUCGCUGGAGGUCGAAAAAGGAGACUGACUAAAGGAGAGACGGUUGUUGGUCCCACAAAAGCCUUAUUUAUGGAUGAAAUAUGAAAUGGUUUAGACAGUUCAACUGUAUGUCAGAUUGUUGCUUGUCUGCAGCAGCUGUUGCAUAUCAUGGAUGCUACCAUAUUGAUUUCACUUCUUCAGCCAGCUCCAGAAACAUUUGAACUCUUUGAUGGCAUCAUUUUUAUGGCAGAAGGAAAGCUUGUGUAUCAAGGAUUAUGCAAUCAAGUUGUAGAAUUUUUCGAGAACUGUGGAUUCAGGUGUCCUCAAAGAAAUGGCAUAGCUGACUUUCUUCAGGAGGUGAUGUCUUGAAAAGAUCAAGCGCAAUACUGGUACCACACUGAAGCUCCUUACAAUUAUGUUUCAAUAGAUAUGUUCUGUGAAAAGUUCAAGAAUCUCCUCUUGGCAAGAAGCUUGAUGAGGAUCUCUUGGUGCCAUAUGAUAGAUCCAAAAGCCACAAGGAUGCUCUUUCCUUCAAUGUGUAUUCUCUUUCUAAGUGGCAACUCCUUAGAGCUUGCAUGUCAAGGGAAUAUCUUCUGUUGAACAGAAAUUCUUUUAUCUGUGUUCAAAACAACCCAGGUUAUUACUAUAAUUAUUAAUUUUCAAUUAUGUUAUACUUUUGUAAUUACAUGUGCAAAGGCAUGGAUAAUCUGAAACAUGUAAAGGAAUUUCUUGUUACAGAUUGUUAUCGUUGCAACCAUCAUGAUGACCGUCUUUUUGCGGACUCAGAUGGAAAUUUAUGCUCUUCAUGCAAAUUACUACAUUGGUUCCCUGUUCUUUGGACUCAUGAUACUUCACGUUGAUGGUAUUCCAGAAUUGUCUCUGACGACAGCUAGACUUCCAGUGUUCUUCAAAUAGAAAGAGUUGUACUUUUACCCUGCUUGGUCAUAUGCAAUUCCAGCCACCAAUUUGGAAAUUCCUCUUUCAUUAAUUGAAUCUGUGACAUGGACAUGCCUUACUUACCAUGUCAUUGGCUACAGUCAUGAGGCCAAUUGUUGAGUUUUAAUUACAGUGGAUGUGUUUACUAGUGCAUUGUAUCCUUUUUAUAUCUUAUUUAUCAUUUCAUUAUAUUAUAUGAUCUAUCAAUCAUCAAUCAGUGCGUUAUAUCUAAAGCUUAACAUCAAACAAUCUCCAAAAUGAUAGCAUACUGAAUUCUUAUGAUUAGCUUUGUUAAUCUUCUGUAUCAAAAUAAAAGAAAAUGAUUAUGUACUCAGACAUGAAUUCCUCAACAAUGUGCUUGAAUUCACUUUGCAG